UGGGAUAUAGUUAAAUUGGAUAUAAUGUAUGCUUUGGGAGCUUUUGUUAUCGGUUCGAGUCCGAUUAUCCUGA
rnacentral:tRNA from 1 species